GCUCUCGGCUUGACGGAGACACUGGAGAAAAAGCCCGCUGCCUCGAGAUGCAGAUGGACUCCUGAAUCCUGUCUUGAUAGGUUUGUUCUCCUAUGUUGUGCCUUGCAUUCGUGAAGUGUUUGUUUUGUUUCCCUAGUAUACAGAUCUGUUUCUCAAAUUGCACUGCAUAUAUCAUAUGCUUUAUGUUGUAAACUGAUACUAAUUUUCAUAUAUAAAAGCAUUUAAGAGACUUUUUAAAAAUCCACAGUAUUAAAAAUAUAUAUGCUGUAAUUAAUGUGUUAGGCUUUCAAGAGAAUAACACAGCAGAAGCUUGGAUAAGUGGGCUACUAAUUAUAAAUAAAACUAUUGGGAUAAAAUUCUUUUUGUAAAUGUGAUAAGCGCUUAAAUAGUUGUUUGCUGGGGAAUUGUUUGGGUCCUGUUGCUAAGAAGUUGUCAGGAACAAUUGGAGUUUAAAUAAAUAUUUGGUCCAGUUUUAAGUUGUCAUUUUUAACUUAAGUAUAAAAGGAAUUAUAAACAGCAGACUCUUAAAUUUGGAUUCCUCCACUAGAGAUGGUAAAUUAGACUGAUUUGAUAUUUAAACCAAAAACAGAAUAACCAUCGUAUGACAAAGAAUAUCAAAGUUUAACAUUCUGGUGGCUAAUAGACCAAAGAAAGGAGAAAUUACUCUAACCUCUCUUUAAAAAACAACAACAGAGGAGCAAAGGUAAAUGCUUCAAACAUAUGAGUUACUUUUUAUGCAUAAUUUUAGUUACACAUUUGUCCUUUCAGGCCUUGAAUUUUUAUUAUAACCUGGCUAAAGGAAUUACAAAAUCUGUCCAACUUAUCUAACUGCUUCAUUUGGGUACUUAUAUAACUUUGCAUAAAUUGGAAUUGGAUCAAUUCUCUUCCCCUCCCCCCCAAAAAAACCCUGCAGCUCAGUUAAGACAGAAACAACAUAAAAAUUACAACAGAAAUAUCUAUUCACAAGGCAACCAUACUAGCAUGAAGAAGCCUUGCCUUGUGGAAAUUCAGCUUCUGUUACAAACUCACUCCAUAAUAUUCAUUUAGUUUGUAUUGCCUAAGUAAUGUGAAUUAUUAUGCAUCUUUAACAUUUUUGAUAUAGGUUAUGUAGACAUUUGCAUCAAAUUAGAUUUAUGUAAGUCAGCUCUUACGUAAUCCGGGCCACCCUUACGGACUAACACAAGAAUGUUUGAAUGAAGAAAAAAUAAACUGUACAAGAAAAAAAAUGCUAUGAAUUCAGUGACAUCCAAUUCAUGAAACUAAUUAUCUCCAUAUCAGAGAAUGCUUUUGUAAUAUCUUUAGAUUUUAUCUUUUUUCCUUAUGUUGUUUUAUAAAACAACACACAUAUCGAUUGUGAAAUAAUCAUAUUCUGUUUACAAGCUGCGAAAGCUGUUUGCUUUCAAGAUAGGAAGGAUGUUUUGAAUCCAAUGUGAGGAUGCUUUAUAUACCAAUUAAAGGUAUGAAAACAA